rnacentral:rRNA from 1 species
UACGGAGGGGGCUAGCGUUGUUCGGAAUUACUGGGCGUAAAGCGCGCGUAGGCGGCUUUGUAAGUUAGAGGUGAAAGCCCGGAGCUCAACUCCGGAACUGCCUUUAAGACUGCAUCGCUAGAAUUGUGGAGAGGUGAGUGGAAUUCCGAGUGUAGAGGUGAAAUUCGUAGGUAUUAGGAAGAACACCAGUGGCGAAGGCGGCUCACUGGCUCGGUACUGACGCUGAGGCGCGAAAGCGUGGGGAGCAAACAGG